ACUGGCAACAGAGGGCUGAGGGCUCCCAGCUCUGAGGGGCACUCUGGACUGGACUUUCCCCUCAGUGCACUGGGAGGCCCUGGGAGAGCUGAGAUCACAAUGGUGGCAUUUUCACAGGGCCCCUUUGACUGCAGCAGGAGAGAGACUACAAGGGAGCCAGAGUGGAGACAGGAAGGCUACACAGACCACGGCAGUGGGUGCAAGAGAUGGUGGAUGGUGGCACCCUCACCCAGGUGGCAACCGAAGUGCUUGGAUCAGGGUUGUGUUUGGCUGAACCAACAUCAUUAGCUGACCUAAUCGACAUUGACUAGAAGAAAAGGGAAGGAGUCGUGGGGACCUGGAGGAUCGGGCCUGAGCAGCUGGCCAAGCUGAGGAAGACUGGGGGAGUCUUCCAUGGAAGAGUCGAGCUCUGCUGAGGCCAGCCGUGCAGACAGUGAAGGGCGCAGACACUGGAUGAAGAAGAGAAAAGACCAACAGAUUCGGGAUCCAAGGGCGAGCGCCUGAGUCCUGCUCUAUCUAGUACCUGACCGAGUGACUUCAGGCAAGAGCUUUAGAUUGCUCACCCAUAAAACAGGAAAACCACAAAAAGAUGAUGACUGAGCACUCGCCAAGACAAAAGGCAAACAGGAAGUCUGCCCAGGCCUGGCAAGAGUGGAGCCAGAUACUGCGCCCUCACACAGGCCUGCAGUGAAGGGAAGGUGAGCCCAUAAAGCAGAACGAACCAGGCACUCGAGGGAGUGCUCAGCCAGUGAAGCCAGGGCUCACCUCCCACAACACCCCAUCAAGCCUUGCAAAGGCAGCCCGGCAGGAGAAGGCGGCCAGGGCUGAGCCUCACCCUUGGGACCAUCCACCCAGGAGAAAGACAAUCUGAUGAGCGGGUGACAAGGACCUGGCUGCAUCUAAAGAGACGUGUGAGCAAAGGCACCAAGGCUGUGCAGGCAGGGGAGGCAUGAGCCAUGGAGCAGGAGCAUGACAAAGAAUGGUGGGCACAUGGGGGGACCAGGUGCAGGUGUGACUUCCACAUCAGAGCUAGCUCGUCCUCUGCAGUUGGCGAGCAGAAAGCAGAGUGGAGAUCAAAAGCACACAAGCAGGCUGGGAUGCCCACAGCACUGGACCCUUGGGACGGGAAAAACAACAGUAUCCCACUCCUGCCCCACGAGCACUGGGAGGGUCCAGCCAGGUCCUAGAAGAACUCAACACACUCUUCCAUGGGCCUCUGAGCAGCCUAUAAGAGGCGCCUCCCACAGAGGACCACAUGACCCGCAAAGGCCAAGAGCCUCUUCCGGCGGGGGUGCUAACACCCUCAGUGAUAGUCAGCUCGCUCCUCACAGAAGCUGGCCACGCUGCUGUCCAGGCCACAACCAGGCCAAGAGUCACAGCUCUGACUUUCACUUGAGAGAAGAUACCCACACCCACAUCUCCAGAGGGCGCAGGAGCCAAUGGUGUCCAGGUGCCCAUCUCAGGUGAAGUUUCCACCUGCACUGAGACCAGGAAAAGGCUCAAGGAAUGCUCACUCUCCUGGCUCCAAGGUAAUGAGGCUUUCACUGAGGAGCAGAGCGUGACAAUCCCAAAGAGAGAGAGCACAGCAAUUCCAAAGGAGGCACAAAUCCUGUGGCGGAUGGAGAAGCCAAGCCAAAGAAAAAAGGAGGUUAAAUACAGACUGGAAAUGGAGGGAGGAGGACUUCAACGUGACACAGGCUCUUCCCUCGACUGACUUUCCCUGGGUUUGUAUCCUCAUUAGGAUUAGGUGACUGCUAAGGUCCUUCAAGUGUUAAGAUUUAAUAAACGCUGAACAAAUGAA